AAUUCUGAUUAUUCACAUCGAUUGGAAUUUGUGAAAUUUUCACGAAUUGACACUCUUAGCCACUUGGGUGGUUCCCGUUCUAAAUUUACGCACCUUGCUGUUGCAGCAGCAGUUGUUGCUGUUGCUGCUGCUGUUGUUGCUGUUGCCAUCGCCACAUUGCUGAUGCAGUGACAAGCCAAUUGAUUCGAUUGAAAUGCCAGCAAUUUAUUCACGAGUGCAGCUAAUGUGUGGUCUAAACAGUGGGAAAAAGAAGUCAAACUAAACAAAUAGAAAUGGCAAAUAAAAAAGAAUUAAUUAAUUAACCCCUCGGAUGACUUUUCAACUUGGCUGCUGCAUUUCUCGGCCUGCUCGUGUUAGCCAAAGGCACCUGUCCAGCGGUUUUUCCUCUUCGGUGGACGUCAUGCGGCUUUUCCAGCUAAAACGGCUACAGAUCGAUUGAGAAUUUUAUGGGGCGCGUGUUGUGUUGGGGCUGGUCAACGCAAAAAUGAAGAAAACGACAAAUUGAUAAAUGAUCGCUGAUGGGAAUUUAUGUGCAUUCUCGUGGAGCGGAAUUCACCUGUGCAGCUGGAUGUGGAAACGGUGGAAAACACAUGUCACUCGCUGAAUAUGAUGAACUCCCCUUGAUGGCUAUAAAUAGUCAACGACUCACACAAAUCGCCCUUGAUUAAUGCCGGCCAGUUAGUGCAAAAUUAGAUGAGAAAUUGUCAAAUGAAACAUUUAUGGCCACUAACCAAA